CGAACGAUGAAGCCCAGCUUGCUGGGUGGAUUAGUUGGCGAACGGGUGAGUAACACGUUGAGUAACCUGCCCUUAACUCUGGGAUAAGCCUGGGAAACUGGGUCUAAUACCGGAUAGGAGCGUCCACCGCAUGGUGGGUGUUGGAAAGAUUUAUCGGUUUUGGAUGGACUCGCGGCCUAUCANCUUGUUGGUGAGGUAAUGGCUCACCAAGGCGACGACGGGUAGCCGGCCUGAGAGGGUGACCGGCCACACUGGGACUGANACACGGCCCAGACUCCUACGGGAGGCAGCAGUGGGGAAUAUUGCACAAUGGGCGCAAGCCUGAUGCAGCGACGCCGCGUGAGGGAUGACGGCCUUCGGGUUGUAAACCUCUUUCAGUAGGGAAGAAGCGAAAGUGACGGUACCUGCAGAAGAAGCACCGGCUAACUACGUGCCAGCAGCCGCGGUAAUACGUANGGUGCGAGCGUUAUCCGGAAUUAUUGGGCGUAAAGAGCUCGUAGGCGGUUUGUCGCGUCUGUCGUGAAAGUCCGGGGCUUAACCCCGGAUCUGCGGUGGGUACGGGCAGACUA
rnacentral:rRNA from 1 species